AACGUAGGACGCAAACGUUAUCCGGAAUUACUGGGCGUAAAGGGCGCGCAGGCGGUUGGAUAAGAGAGGCAUGAAAGCCCCAUGGCUAAACCUGGGGAGGUUGUCUGAGACUGUCCGACUAGAGUACGAUAGAGGGGUGUAGAAUUCCGCGUGUAGUGGUGAAAUGCGUAGAGAUGCGGAGGAAUACCAGAGGCGAAGGCGGCACCCUGGAUCGUAACUGACGCUGAGGCGCGAAAGCAUGGGUAGCGAACGGGAUUAGAAACCUUGUAGUCC
rnacentral:rRNA from 1 species